GUCGAACGGAGACAGUAGCAAUAUUGUCUUAGUGGCGAACGGGUGAGUAACGCGUUGGUGACCUGCCCCGAAGAGGGGGAUAACAGUCCGAAAGGAUUGCUAAUACCCCAUGUGGUCAUAUGGAUUAGAUGCCUAAUGACUAAACGGAUUUAUUCGCUUCGGGAGGGGCCUGCGUCCCAUCAGCUAGUUGGUAAGGUAACGGCUUACCAAGGCGAUGACGGGUAGGGGACCUGAGAGGGUGGCCCCCCACAAUGGAACUGAAACACGGUCCAUACACCUACGGGUGGCAGCAGUAGGGAAUAUUGGUAAUCUGGGAAACCGGGAACCAGCAACGCCGCGUGCACGAUGAAGGCCUUCGGGUCGUAAAGUGCUUUUUGAAGGGAUGAGGAAGGACAGUACCUUCAGAAUAAGCCUCGGCUAACUACGUGCCAGCAGCCGCGGUAAAACGUAGGAGGCGAGCGUUAUCCGGAUUUACUGGGCGUAAAGCGUGUGUAGGCGGUUUGAUAAGUUGGAUGUGAAAGCUCCCGGCUCAACUGGGAGAGGUCGUUCAAAACUAUCAGACUAGAGAGUGGUAGAGGGAGGUGGAAUUCCGCGUGUAGUGGUGAAAUGCGUAGAUAUGCGGAGGAACACCAGUGGCGAAAGCGGCCUCCUGGCCCAUUUCUGACGCUCAGACACGAAAGCUAAGGUAGCAAACGGGAUUAGAGACCCCGGUAGUCUUAGCUGUAAACGAUGUGAACUUAGUGUCGGUGGGGUUAAAUCCAUCCGGUAUCUGAAGC
rnacentral:rRNA from 1 species